GACGUAGGGCGCAAGCGUUGUCCGGAUUUAUUGGGCGUAAAGAGCUCGUAGGCGGUCUGUCGCGUCGAUCGUGAAAACUUGGGGCUUAACCCUGAGCUUGCGGUCGAUACGGGCAUGACUGGAGUUCGGCAGGGGAGACUGGAAUUCCUGGUGUAGCGGUGAAAUGCGCAGAUAUCAGGAGGAACACCGGUGGCGAAGGCGGGUCUCUGGGCCGAUACUGACGCUGAGGAGCGAAAGCGUGGGGAGCAAACAGG
rnacentral:rRNA from 1 species